rnacentral:rRNA from 1 species
UACAGAGGUGACAACCGUUGUCCGGAAUUAUUGGGCGUAAAGAGCUCGUAGGUGGCUUGUCACGUCGGGUGUGAAAGCUUGGGGCUUAACUCCAGGUCUGCAUUCGAUACGGGCUGGCUAGAGGUAGGUAGGGGAGAACGGAAUUCCUGGUGUAGCGGUGAAAUGCGCAGAUAUCAGGAGGAACACCGGUGGCGAAGGCGGUUCUCUGGGCCUUACCUGACGCUGAGGAGCGAAAGCGUGGGGAGCGAACAGG